CUACGUGCCAGCAGCCGCGGUAAUACGUAGGGCGCGAGCGUUGUCCGGAAUUAUUGGGCGUAAAGAGCUUGUAGGCGGUUUGUCGCGUCUGCUGUGAAAGGCCGGAGCUUAACUCCGUGUAUUSCAGUGGGUACGGGCAGACUAGAGUGCAGUAGGGGAGACUGGAAUUCCUGGUGUAGCGGUGGAAUGCGCAGAUAUCAGGAGGAACACCGAUGGCGAAGGCAGGUCUCUGGGCUGUAACUGACGCUGAGAAGCGAAAGCAUGGGGAGCGAACAGGAUUAGAUACCCUGGUAGUCCAUGCCGUAAACGUUGGGCACUAGGUGUGGGGAACAUUCCACGUUUUCCGCGCCGUAGCUAACGCAUUAAGUGCCCCGCCUGGGGAGUACGGCCGCAAGGCUAAAACUCAAAGAAAUUGACGGGGGCCAGCACAAGCGGCGGAGCAUGCGGAUUAAUUCGAUGCAACGCGAAGAACCUUACCAAGGCUU
rnacentral:rRNA from 1 species